rnacentral:piRNA from 1 species
CNGGAAUCUGCCAUGCCACUUGUUGCAGUCGC